AACGCGAAGAACCUUACCAAGUCUUGACAUCCCCCUGACCGGAACUUAACCGUUCCUUUCCUUCGGGACAGGGGAGACAGGUGGUGCAUGGUUGUCGUCAGCUCGUGUCGUGAGAUGUUGGGUUAAGUCCCGCAACGAGCGCAACCCUUAUCCUUAGUAGCCAGCAAGCAGUGUUGGGCACUCUAGGGAGACUGCCAGGGAUAACCUGGAGGAAGGUGGGGAUGACGUCAAAUCAUCAUGCCCCUUAUGAUUUGGGCUACACACGUGCUACAAUGGCGUAAACAAAGAGAAGCAAGACCGCGAGGUGGAGCAAAUCUCAAAAAUAACGUCUCAGUUCGGAUUGCAGGCUGCAACUCGCCUGCAUGAAGCUGGAAUCGCUAGUAAUCGCGAAUCAGAAUGUCGCGGUGAAUACGUUCCCGGGUCUUGUACACACCG
rnacentral:rRNA from 1 species